AAAACUCUCACUUCUAAAUGUUAUUAAAGAAAGCCGCGAAUUUUUGCCUUAUUGAUCCUGUCUUCUCCAAAAUGUUGCAGAAGCUGCACCUCCACUCGGGAGGUUGUUAUCAAUUUAUCACUCUGCUUUCGUGGAGGGAGUUCAAACGGACUUCAAGAUUGAACCAUCGUUUGGAGUUGAAGCCUCGCAGCUUUAUCCUGAUGUCAAGUACACUACAGUUGAUGAGUACCUCAAUCAGUUUGUGUAACCCUUCUCUGCUUCCAGCUGCAGCUUGCAGGAUCUUGGACUCUGGGUAAAUAAAUAAUGGGCUUGUUGCAAUCUUUGGUUUUUAUAUGUAAAAAUUAUGGUUGUUGGCCUUACUUUCUUCUGGUUGUCAAUGGAAUUUGUAAGACCAUUUUAUGUUUGCUAUGUCAGUGAUCAAAUGAAGUAGGCCAUGUACUUGAUCUGAGAAUAAUUAUAAAGCCAACAUGGUCAGGUGAGUGCGUCUGUGGGGCUUUUAUUAGGGUGCGUGUGUGAGGCUUCUGAGGGGCUUGUGAUAUGGGGUCUACAGCCCCUAAUGGGCACGCGACUGCGUGCACUAAAUGAAGUUAUUAUAAAAAUAAUUAUAGAGUCACCAAGGCAAAAAUUAAAAGUAAUUUGCCAAUAAAAAUAGUUAAAAGUAAUAAAAAGUAGGUAUUAUAUUUCAAAAAUCAAUUUUUCAUUAAUGUUUAUAAGAUUAAAUUUGUUCUUAUCUUUCCUUAAUAAACACAAAAAUUUAUCGUUUUGGACUAAUUAAAAUUUUAAAACUAGCUAACAAGCAAACCGCCAUUAAUUUUUUUUUUUCCAUUUCUUUAAUCAUUCUUUUUUCUCUUUUUGACCUUUUUCUUUUUCUUUUCUUCAGUCCUUAUUUUUCUUUUCUUUUUUGGUUUUCCUCUAAACUCUUUAAGAAAGGCUGCCAAGCCUUGAAAAUAUCUCAAAAAAUAAGAUUUUCUUUCUUAAGAUUAACAUUUUAACCACAAAAAUAAAACUCUAGUCCAAACAUUGAGCACUUACAAAUCAAACGAUAAAAACCUCUUAUUAGUACAUUAACCGUAAAAUAAAAAAGAAUUAUCACAAAUAUUGAAAUGUUGUUGUUUGAUGCUUGAGAUUCUUGAAAUGUAUGCAGAAUUCCGACAAUAUUUUGUUGAAGCAACUCUCGGAAACUUGUUUGUUGAGAUUGAUGAAGAGUCCAUGGCAAGUAACCAGGCAUAUUGCAAUCCUUGUAAUUAUUCUGACCGAGAACAAUAAAACAAAAAGUGAAAACUGAAGAAAAUGAUAAGAAAACAAUAGAAUAAUAAUAUUAAAAACUCGCUAAUCUUGCCCAAUUUUUUUUUUUUUUGGAUAAUGUUCAGCGUAUACUAGAAUCUUUUAGAGCAGAAGCAAAACAGCAACAACUUUUCAAGAAAAGAAAAAAAAAAAGAAUUAUUAAAGAAAAUGGAAAAAAGAAUUAACGGCAGUUUAUUUGAUAGCUUUUAGAUAGCCAAAACCGGUGAGUUUUUGUGUUUUAAUAAGGAUAGUUAGGAAUAAAUUUAAUCCUCUCUAUAGAAUCAUUUAGUUACUAUGUGUCAAAAUCUCCUGUAAAGAAUAGGAAAAAUUAAAUUAGAAGAGGAUCCAAAUCAGGACUUGACUAGCUUACAGAAUCUGUAAGCUACGGACUGCAGCAUCAGCCGUUGGAUGUGGUUGGAUGUGGAGUGAGAAAUUAAACAAUAGAAGAUCGGAUGGUGGGAUGACGGGAGAUGUUUGUUACAGAAUCUGUACCAUAGACAGGUCCUCCAAAUCAUCAACAUCUUGGAAUAAACAAAAGAAUCUAAACAAAAGAAACUCGUUUUGCGUGUGAACCAGUUCAAGAUAAAGAGCAGACUAUUGGAAAGAGACAAAUACUACAAGAAUAACAAAACAUUCUACAGUUACUACAUAAGCCUGCAACAAUUAAUUAUUAACUCAAGAUUUAUUACACUUUUUCUUUAAUUUGACAAAGAAACCAAAAAUGAAAUAAAAUUGACAACAGCAAUGAUAUGCUUACAACAAUGAGUAUGAAACUUAGUACAACAAGGACCUUUUUGCUAAUUUUUUCAAAUUUUUAUGAUAUUUUAGAAUUUAUGGGUUUUAUUGAUUUUGAUAAAUUGGAGCAUUUCUCCAUUCAUCUUUUCUGCAUCUAUCCCUAAAUUUCUUAUCUUUGUAAAGUUUUAACUAUGUCUUUGUAAAGUUCUAAAUGAUUAUCUCGUUCAUAGAGAUCUAUAGUUAAAUUAAUUCUUGUAUUUAUAAUCAUUUGUCUCCUUUGAGACAUAGACCAAAUUUUUUCUUCUAACAUUCCUAUGUAUAUUCCUAAGCUAUAUUUCCAGCUUAGGUACAUCUUAUCUAGGAUUUCACAAAUAAAUUGUAAUUUGAGAUCUGCAUCUUGAAUCAACAUCACCAUAUUAUUAUUAUUAUUAUUAUUAUUAUUAUUAUCCAUUGUUUUAUACUCGAUUUUGGGUUCUAUUACUAGUCGCACUUGUCUUGGAUUAUUUCAAGGCUAGAUAGAAUUGAUUCUAUUAAUGCUAUCCUGUUUCCUUCUUCAAAUGAAUCGAAUAUUUUUGGAUCAAUAAUUCUUUUCAUUUCUUCAUACAAGUGUUUGCUUGUAAUUAAUCUAGUUUUAACUAUGGAAAUUGUAUAAGCAACUUGAUAUUCUUGACUAAAGUCUAGAUGAUCAAUUGCGUCUAGAAAUUUAUUAACAGAUCUUUCCAUUUUUAUGAAAUUGAGUUACUUUUAUCACUUCCUAUCUUAUAACAUUUCAGAAUACAAACAAGGCCCAACAUGCUUCCAUUUGUUGCUAAAAUAAAAGAAUAGAGUUCAAGAUUACUAACCAGUGUACAUUUCUCGGAAUUCUAAGAUAGAUUCACUAAUUGCCUCCAACCAUAGAGAGGUCUAUGGUUAACUCCGCCAUAGCUCCACACAUCAUAUAAGAUCACUUCAACGACUGUUACAUAGGCCCAACGCAACAUAUAGCAAACGGGCCUAAAAGAAUAUGUCUAAGUGAUUUGCUUACAGCUGUCUCUGGAAGAGUGCUUAGUAGUAGAAAAUCUUCUUCCUUUAGCACAAGUAUUGGCAUGUAAGGUUCUUGGUUAUUUUCUAAGAGUAUAUAAGAUAUCUGGAAGAUGACAAUUUCGCUCAAAAGAGUUUUAUUUAUUUCAUCAUUGAAAUUAUUUACAGAGGAUGGUUACAGAGAAUACAGGUGUAGGUGUAGGUGUAGGUGUAGGUGUAGGUGUAGGUGAAGGUUAGGCAUGUGAUGUCCUUCCCUUCUUACAUGUUUCUAUUUAUAAUCUUAAAUAGAUAAGGUUAUCUCUUUUACAUGACACUUGUUUAAUUCUCUUGGUGGAUUGUGGAUUCUUUCCUGAUAAGGUGACCCUUCUUCUUUUUAUCAUUAAAGACAGUGGUUGUCUUCUUUUCCUGGUGGUAGACAGCCUUUAUCUGGUUGUAGUGUGCUUUAUCUUUUUGGAAUCUUUCUUUUUGAAUUAUUAAUGCUUUUAGGAUAGCACCUUUUAUCUUUUCCAAUGGUUCCUGUCACAUGCCAAGUAUCAAAUCUUCCUCUAGUGACAUGUCUUCCCCACUAGAAUCCUUUUUUGAUCCUUCGUAGCAGUAGCCACAUGAUGACUGAUGUUUUAGCACCUUGCAUACCUCGUGAUGUGUCAGUAAGCUGGAUUCCACGAGAUUUUCAUAUAUUGCCUUUUUCUUUUUUGAUAUGGCCUGUCUGGCUAAAAUGCUUUCUUUUCUACUUAUAGAAAAGAUUAUAUGCUCCUUUGUGGCUUCGUGGAGCCAUAUUUUUUCCUCACUUAUCCUCUCAAGAGAUUCAUAGAGGACUUUCAUUCCUACGGCUCUUUUGCUGGUGAGAGCUUUGGGUUCGAAAAAUUCAGGAUCAUAAUCAUUAUAGACUUGAUCUAUAUCAAUAGUUGGACUAACUUUUUGCUGCUAAUUCUAACUUAAAUCAUGUGCUGUGCUACCACUUGUUUUCACCGUAUUAAGGGCAAGCAGUGAGGAUCUUGAUAAAAAUUAGUUCUUUUGUUUUGGAUAUCCUUUUGUGGUCAUUAACAGCCUCUGUAUUUUUUUCUAGGAGCUCUUUUAUUUUCCUACAAUCAUCACGGACAUAAACAAGGUUAAGAAAACCGUAUUCAAACAUGUCUUUUAUCAAUUUUGGAUAAGCUCCUAGCACAAAUUUUAUCCUUGGGUAUAACCCUGAAUGAUAUGGUAUUAUAGUCUGGUUAUGAUGAAUCACAUAAGUUAUUUUACCAAUUCUUUUAUAAUUAUAAGCGUUGUCGCUUCCUAAUGGAUUUUUAACCAUAGGAACAGACUGUCCGCUUUUAUUAUAUUGGGGCCUUAAGCUCACUGAAGACCUUUGAGAUUCUUCUUUCUUCAUAUAUUAUUCUUUGAGAUCAUUGAUUGUGAGAAAUUUCUCUAGAUGUGUGACCUUUGAGUUCUGUGAAGAACUCUGGGCAAUCUGAUCCUUAGUUUGAUCCUUAAAAUGGACCUUUUUUUAGCAUAUUACUAAUAGAUUGUUAUGAAAUUUGGACUUCUGGAUGAUUUUGCAAACUUUUCUAUAGGCAAAGUUUGCUCAAUUCUUCAUGGGCAUCAUCUAUCAUGGCAAGCCUAUUAUAAAUUAUACCAUUGCCUUUGAGAAGCAAUUCUUGACCUUCAGAGCACAUUAUUAUGCCCUUAAUUAUUUUGGAAAGACCCUUCUCCAUUGUAUUCUCGGCUAAGAAAAUUUGCAAUAGAAUUGUUAGAUCCUUUAAUAUAUUCAAUUUCAAAAUCAUAUUCAGCAAAAAAACCGUUGCCAUUUAAUUAAUCUUUUAUAUUAAGGGAGAUUAGGCAAUUUAUUAAAUAUAAAUCCUUUAACUCGAGUGUUAUCAGAUCUUACCUUGAAUUUCUUUGGUAACAAAAAAAAGUAAAUUUAGCUAUUCCAUUUUUAAUAGUUAACAGUUCAUUUUCAUUACUAUGAUAAUUCUUCUAUGCGGGUUUGAAUGUUCUGGUGGCAUAUCUACAAAUCUUUUCUUGAUCUGUUUUUAAGACUACACCCCAGUAAUUAUCUGAAGCAUCGGUCUCAAGAAUUAAAUUAUCACUAGAAGUAGGGAAUCCUAAUCUUGGAAGAUUUUUACAUUUUUCUUUCGAUUUUUUUACUACUUUGGUAUGGAGAUCUUUCCAUGAUUUAGUAUUAUUCUUUUUUAAUAAUCCUUGUAAAGAUUGUCUUUCUUUAGCUAAGUUUUCUAUGAAACCUUCAGCAUAAUUAAGAUAUCCUAAAAAUAUUUGAAUUUGUUCUUUAGAUUCUAAUUUAUUUGGGAAUAGAUAUAUUUUCCAAAAAUAUGAGGUUGCAUCUCAAUUCCUGUUUCAUCUAUUAUUAACCCUAGAAAUUCUAUCUUGAGUUUCAUUAUUUCAGCUUUCUUUUUAGGGAGUAAUAUUCCAUGUUUCUUGCAUUUCUCUGCAAAAGAAACGAGAUGAUUAAUAAGAUAUAUCUUAUUAUCUGAAAAUAUAAAAAUAUCAUCUAAAUAAACAAUGUAGAAUUCAUGAAAUUCUUUGAAGAUUUGAUCCAUCCUUCUUUCAAAUAUUUUUGGUGCAUUUUUCAAUCCAAAAGGCAUUACAAUCCAUUCAUAUUAUCCUUGAGGUGUACUAAAGGCAGUAAGUGGUAUACUUUCUACUUUAAGUUUGAUAUGUCAAAAUCCAGAUUUGCAAUCAAACUUGCUAAAUGUCUUUUUAUCGGUCACGGAGAUAAUUAAUGUAUCUUUAUAAGGUAAAAAAUAUCCAUUGAAUUUGGUAUAUUUAUUUAAUUCUUUGUAGUUAAUAACCAUGCGAGCUUUUCCUCAUUUAAUUUCUACAUGAUUUCUAACCAUAAAGGCUGGACUACUAUGAGGACUUUUAGAUUUCAAAUAAUCUUAAGUUCUAAUAACUCUUCAAUUUUUUUUAUCAAAUUCUUGUCCAUGUUCUUGCCCAUCUCUCAUAGGCUUAACUCUUAUGAUACCAUUUAGAUCUGUUAAUUCGAUCUUAGCAUAUGUUUAAUCAAUUUCUCAUAAUUGAAUUGGGUUUUCACCAAAAUUUUUAUCAAGUUUUUCUAAAAUUUUUUCAUAGUCUAACAUGAUUUGAAUGAUUUUUAUAGUGUAAUCAACACACUGACUGUGUCGAAAAUGUAAUUUUUGAGUUGUGCGCCUAACAAGGUUAUAAAUUCUCGGGGUAGUAAUGGAAUGAUUACAUGGUGUUUUGAGAGUAAUGGCUUCAUUAGUCAUUAUAUAAAUGAAUUGACGAAGGAAAUUAACUCCUAAAAGUAUAUAUGUUCCCAUAUGAUCAUAAGACCAGAAUAUAGGGAUACUUAAGAUGUAAUCUUCGAUUUGGAUUAAAGUCUUAAUCCUACAAGUCCCUAAGGUGAUCUGUUCAUCAUUUGUUCCUUAUCCUUUUAAAGGCUUAUAAUCUUUCCAAUAUGGUUUUGGAUAAAUCCUAGAACUGGCAAAACUAACUCCUAAACCAGUAUCGAUUAAAGCAUAAAACCAUUCCAGUUUAUGUUUAUAAUAUGGUAUAAUCACUUUUAUAUAAAUUAUAAAAGGAUUAGACAUAUCUUGAUAUGGUUUGCUUAAUUCCUUCAAUUGUUAUACUUAUUUCUCUAUCUCCUGUACAAUAAGGAGAGAAAUUCUAAAGAAAGUUCAUCCCUAAUAAUAAAGGAUUUAUUUCUGUUUCAUAAUAUGGUUCUAUGAAAAAAGGAAAGAUGAAUUUUGUUCCUUUUAUUUUUAAUGGUAUUUUACAAUAUUUUCUUAAUGUCUUUCUUUCUCUAUUAAAUCCUACAUAAGUAUGAGGUUCAAUUAGAAUUUUUCUUUCUAAAUAUUUAAUCAUUUUAGCAUCUACAUAAGAUUUUGUAGCUCAUGUAUCAAGGAUAGCAAAAGUCUCGUGCCAUGAUUUUCCAUUAUUAUAGUCAAUCUUAAUUUUUAGAUUUUGAUUAUUUUUUCUAAUUGUGGCUAAUAUUUCAUGUGAUGGUGGUGUCACAAGAUGACUACAUCUAGUAAAACUUUGGGUUCCUCUGAAUUUUGGUUCUCUUUUGGGUAUAGAGAAUGAUCUUUUAUGUCUUAUAAUGAUUCUUCCUUCUGGAGUAUAUUCUAUAGAUUUAGUAGUAUUUCCUUUAAUCAGAGUAGGUUGACUACUUAGAUUCAUUUUCCAUUCUUAUGAUAAAUAUAUUUCUCUCUGGAUUUCAGGAUAUUUUAUAUUUCUAACUUUACUAAAUAAUUUAUCUAUUUCAAUAAAAUAUUUAUUAGCAAACAUUUCACUAUUUGCUGAAUUUGUUAAUGCAUAUUUUAUGGCAUACAUUAUGCUAUAUGGAUAAGACCCCUCAUGCAUUAUAUCAAAGUAUUUAAAAUCAUGACAUAAGGUUAAUGUUUUAUUUAUAUUUCUAUCCCUAAGACUUAUAGAAUAUUUAGGAUAUAUCUUAAAUAUCAAUUUUUUAUAACUCAAGUUUCCUUGUAUUAUUCUAGGGACUGCAUGUUUUCGAUCUUGUAUUCUAUUAUCUAGUACUGCUAAAAUUAUUGGACUAUCUAUUCCUUCCCGAAAAUGAGCUUUUAUCAUAAACUGAAUUCCUCCAAUAUGAUCAUAUCCAAUUUUGGGUCUAUUGCUAGAUUUUAUCUUACUGAUUUUAUCUUCUAUAUCAGUCUUUAAUAAUAAUGGUAUAUUUGUAUUUCCCUUAGCAUACCUAAUUUCAAUAUGUUCUUCUCACACAGUAGCACUGAAAUACAUAACAUUUUUUCUUUUAAUCAUGGUGGCAAUUCCUAGAGCUAACUUAUUGACUGAAGUCAAGGAUGAUUCUAAUCAUUUUUUUGUUAAUCUUGAGGUAUUGUUUUUUUUUUUUAUCAAAGAUUAAUUCUUUGUUAAAAGAACCUUGUUCUUCUAAUUCUUCAUCUUGAUAUAAAUGCUUAUUAUCUAAUUCUUCUAUACUCAUUCCAAAUAUGAUUUUGAAUCUGAGCUACUUAAAGUUUCUUCAGAAAGAUAAUAUAUGCUAUCACUUUCACUAAUACCUUCACUAUCUGUGAUUAAUUCUAAAUCAUUAAAAUCCUCAAACAUUUUUAUAUUUUCUUUUUUCUUUUUAGGACAUUCAUUUGUAUAAUGCCCUUCUUCAUUACAUAACCACCACUUGCAUUCUUUAACUACAUUGGUUUUAAAUCUUCUUUUAAAUUUAUUUUUCUUGUAGAAUUUCUUCUUAUAUUUAUUUUUCUUGUAAUAUUUCUUGUUGCCUUUAAAGAAUCUCUUCUUUUUGAAUUUAUUCCUAUAUUUAUAAGUUUUAUCUGAACAUCCAAAUCUUGGUGGAUCUUCUAACUUAGAGCAAAACAAUCCUUGAUUUAGCCUUUUCAUAAGUCUGUUAUCUCUUAUUUCAGCACACCAUUCACUCAUUCUAUUUCGAGCAAACCUAAUCUUAUUUCCUAAGGUAUCAGUCUCUGUUGUAUCUUCAUAUUUGUUGUUAUAUUCUAGCAUAAUCCUUUUCUCCCAUGGGUCUGGUAUCCUUAUAAAAUAUAGAUCUUAGUAAUAGCAUAUGCUACUUUCAUCUAAUUCACAUUUAUAAUAUAAUUCUUCAAAGCUACACGUGUAUUCUUCUAAAUAACAUAUAUUACAUAUUUCAAGCCUUGUUAGUUUUAUUACAUUUUCCAUCUUUUUUUCACUUUAUUUCUUAUUGAAAACCAGUUUCUCAAUCUUCUCCUAGGAAUUUUUUUCUUAUUUCAUUUUCAAAUCUAUUUAAAACUUGAUCCAAGCUUUCAUUUUGAUUAUUAUUUUCUCCAUACAAUAUUUUAUUUUUGUUAUUAUCGUUUAGUCCCAUAAACGAAUGUGACACUAUUCCUACAAAUGAAGUUUUAAGGAAUUCUAUACUAUUAUUCCUAUCUAUUUUGUUAAAUACAAAUGCCGUUUUCAUAGAUUUAACCCAAGCGAUAAUCGUUUUAUCUCUAUCUUUGACAUAGUCUAAAUCUAACCAUACUCCAUCAUGGUUGAUUGGUCUCUCUCUAUAUUUUCCUGGAGUUUUAUAAUUUUUUUAGGCUUGUUAACCCUAAAAUAUUGAUGUUGUGAUCUUUCAUGAGCUAGUAUUUCUUCUCUAGUAUAGGAAGCUCUAUUACUAGAUUCUCCUUGUUAAAAAACCGUUGGUUUUGAUUCAUUCAUUUUUAAUUGUUCUAUUCUAUUUUCAAUAUCUCAUAAGUUAAUGAGUACAUCCUCUUCCUCUUCGGAUUUAGAUUCUUCAUUGGAUAUUUCUGGAUUGUAUAAUUCUUUUAAUCCAUUGUCUACAUUUUCACUUAGCAUCCUUAAACUUAUUAAUUUUUUAUCUUAGUUUUUUGUUAAAUAUUGUCUAGAUAUUGCUAUCAUUUCUUUAUCUUUCUUUUCGUUGUAGUAAAUUAUGGUGUCUUGUAAGGUUUUAUUUUUUUUUCUUGAAUUACCAUGAGUAAUUCUUCCAUAUUGUUAUUUAUCUUUUGUAUUUCAAUCCUUUUGUAGUUUUCUAUGAAAAAUUAUUUCUAUACACCUCUCUCCUAAUUCUAAAUAGGAGAAUAGGAUCGAUGUUUAAAUUUCUAUUCUUUAUUAUUUUGAGUUCUCCAAUUCUAAAUUCAUGAGCUCUAGAUAAAUAAAAUUGUUCUAAUUGUUUAUCAUCUAAUAUCUCAAGUUUUGAAUAAUAAUAUUGUUUAUGUUUAGUUAUGUUAUCCUUUAUAGUAUUACUAUCUACCAUUAGAUUAUAUCCCCUAUUAUUAAUAAAAUAAACAAUUGUUUCUUCCAUUUUUAUAUUUUGAACCAAAAAUCUGGUUCUGAUACCGUUUUUGCAGACAAUUUUCAAUCCUAAGAUCCAAGUAAGGAUGUAAAUGAUUAAUCUUUAAAAUCUUAUGAAUAUUUUACAAUUUUGCUUUUUUAAAACACACAGUUUUAUGCUAGGUGUUGUGCAAUCUUUUGUAAAAAUUCAUGAACCAAUACUAUAUUGACUUCUCCUAAAAUGCAUAGGUUUGUUAUGAAAUUCUAAGUGUACAACCCAAAAAGUGGGGUGAAUUGGGUUUUUAAAAAUUUAAGCAAUUAUAACCACACAAAAAUUUCAAUUAAUGUCUUAUUUGAUUCAAUAACAAUAAUUUUAACAAUGAAUAAAGUAAAGAGAUGAGGGAGAAGAGAGCAAACAUGAGAUUUUUACAUGGUUCAGCAAAACCUGCCUACGUUGACGCCUCCAAGCUCACUAUGCUUGAAGAUUUCACUAUCCAAGCAUUACAACCCUAAGGCUUCAAGAUGCUUACAAUUGAUUUCUAAGGUUUCCAUGGACCUUUACAUCCAGAGGUUCUCUCAAACCUCUUAACCAAGUGUUUCUCACACUUACAACCACUUAAUUGUGAUAUUGAAAAAAAGUUACACAAAUUUUCCACUCACACAAUAUAUGUGUUUACAACUAAAAGCCUAGAGUGUGUUUCAAUGAAAGAAUAAAAACAUUUAAGCUCAAGACAGAUUAAACAUGCAAAAGUAAGCUCAAUGCCAAUUUUUGAAUUCGUUAUUGAUUGAAUAUGAUUAAUCCUUUUGAUAGUUGGAGCUGAAAACUAGCCGUUAUUGACUUUCUGCACAAGGUCGGAUCAUCGUUAAUACUUAUCGGACUGCUGUUUUGACUUGAUCAAGUUACCGUUAGGCGAAAAUCUAAAUUUUCGGAUCACCAUUUUCGAGACAUUGAAUUGUUGUUAGUUUCUAGUAACAUUGCGAGAAAAUAGUUGGCUUACCGUUUUCAAAAUGUCAUAUCGUCGUUAGUUUCCAAAUCCAUUCGAUGUCGGUUAGCCAUUUGCUACAUUAACUGCUACAUUGAAACUAUUUUUUAAAAUUAUAUUUUUGCCAUGCUUUCUAUAAUUAUACUGUAGCCCAAAUCUUCAUAAUACUUUACAAAUAGGUCCAUUUUCAGAGUUUCAAAACAUACUUUUUAUUUCCAAAACUUUAUGAAAUUAUACUAUAACCCAAAAAUAUAUAAAAUAUUUCAAAUAGGUUCAUUUCUAGAAUUUUAAAACAAUACUUGUUGAUUUCAAAGUUCUCAAAACUUUUUAAAUUUAGAGCAUUAACUUCAAAAUAACCAAUUUCAUAAAAUCAUUUUUUUCAUUAAGAUUUAUGAAAAAUGACUUGAGCUUUUAAAUGCUUAAGCAUGCAUAUAUUUAAUCAUACUAGCUUUACAAGAAAUGUAACAAGAGAAAUCACCUAAGCUAGUACCUCUAAUGCUUGUUCUUGACUUAGUGAGCUUUUUACCUUCGUCUAUUUGAGUGCCUUGAACUUGAUCACACACACACACACACACACACACACACACACACACACACACAUAUAUAUAUAUAUAUAUAUAUAUAUAUAUAUAUAUAUAUAUAUCAUUUUAUCCUUUUAUCCUUAACACGUGGUUUGUUAUUAUCAAAACCCAAGUUCGUACAACCGCUUAGGCCAACAUGUUACUCCCAAUCAAUUGACUUCUGACAUGACUACUUCCAAAAUGGCUAGUACCAAAAGGGAAUCCUUCUGGGAUGAGAAUUGAAAAACAUGCCUCUUCUAGCACUAAAAUUACUCCUUCCACCUAUAUUUCCACUAUAAUGUCCUUAAAAUCCUCCGGCAUAUCCACCUCUUUUAGUAUUGCCUCCUAUUUGUGCAUGAUAGUAAUUAAUUAUGCCAUAGUUAUUAUGGUUAGCAAAGUUAGCACAAUUUGCAUUGAAUAUGUGUUUUUCAUUAUGACUUUGUUCAAGUCUUGCCUCUUGAGUAAGCAAUAGAGCAUACGCACCAUCAUAAUAUAACUUGCUAGCAGUAAUAAAAGUAGAUAAAUGCAGAUGGCUAGCUCCAAAACUAUUGAGAAUUUGUUAAACAUAUCUUUAUCAGAAAUAGGACUACCAACACAUGUCAAUUUAUCUGCUAUUUAUUUAAUCUUUAAGCAAUACUCUUCUAUGCUUAGUGACUUUUUUUCUCAAAGCAUUCAUCUCAUAUCUCAUUUGAAGAAUCCUACCCUCAUAAUGUUGCCUAAACUUUUUCUGUAAUGUUUUUCAUACAUCAAGUAAGGUGUUAUAAGAAUGAACAAGACCGAGAAUACCUUCAGUGAUAGAGCUGAGUAACUAGCUAAGUAAUGUGUGAUCUUGAGAUCUCCAAACAAUGAACUCAGGAUUUUCAAUCUGUUAAGUAGAUGCAGCAACUGCUCUAGCAUAGCUGAUGAAUCAAUGAAUUGAUUUGGUGCUUCAUUUUCUCUAGUUAUGUAUCCUUCGGUUUCCUCUUAUAAAAGCUAGAACUUGAUUUUGCCACAGCAUGUAAUUUGAUCAAUCGAAUGUGAUUGGAGUGAUGAAACAGAAUGUUGUUUGCAUUGAUUGAUUUGUAGAGAUUGCAAUUGAAUUUGUGCUUACAUUGCUUGAGCUUGCCAUUUUGGCUCAGAUACCAUGAAUAAAUUAUUGGAAGUUGAGUUAUAGUUGCUGUUUAACAGCUGAGAAAAUAGAGGAAAAUUCUCUGGAAAUUCUAAAUGUUUCCUAUUGAGCAAACGAAAGAUUAACAUACUAUAUAUAUACAAGUUUCUAAAUUGUUUCUAGCUAAUUUACAGUACAGCUAAUCAAUAGAUUUGAUCCAAAGUAAAACUAAUUAGUUUCACACAUAAGGAGCACGUGAAUCCAUCAUCGUUGCAUAAUCGAACAUGUUGACUUAGCUGCUGACUUGGCAUUGACAGCUGAUUUGCUUCUUUUUUGUAACUCUGGAUAGUGUGCUUUCUUCACAAGUUUCCCCAAAUCUCCAUUAUGUACAGCUUCUGCAAAAAUUUCCUAACCAAACCAUUUAUUUGUAAUUUCCUCUUGUGUUGGCCCUAUGCCAUCAUCAAGUGGUACCGUGAGAGGAUUUCCAUCUAGAUUACCCUGAUCUUUGUCUGAAUCAUAACUAGUAUGCAUAGUGUUUUCAUCCUCAUCACCCUGCGCAGCCAAAACAAAAUGCUUAACAUUACAUAUACAGUAAAACCUCUCUAUAGUCAUAUUGUUGGGAUUAAACUAAUUUUAUUAAUAUGAAGAUGUUAUAAACUUAAUGGAAAUUCAGUGACAAAUCUAUUGAUUAGCUGUGCUACUUUGAUAAUUAAUUAAUGAAGCAUGUCAAAUCUAAUGCAUUGACAUUGAUAAAAGAGGUAAACAUAUAAUUUAAAAAACUAGUACUUAUAUCUAUCAUCUGUGUAGUAUUGGGAACAUGCAAAGUCUUCUUAUUGAAAAUCUAAAGAAUAAAUUAUUAUCCAAAAUAAUUUCAGAAAAAUAUUAUAUUUCAUCUUAAAUCUUUCAUGUAACAUAGCAAAUUUUUUUUUUUUUUGCUCAAUAUACAUAUUAGUAAUACUGUGUGGAUGCGUGUUCCUUAAGAUAUGCUCUAUAAAAGUUGUUAACUUAUUACAAUGUGAAGUUUGUUCUUAUUUAUAAUUGGCUUAAAGCAGGAAUAAGAUUUUUUGUGACUAUUGGACGUUGUUCUUAUAAAAUGUAUCACUACAGAGAGAUUUUAUUAUAAUUCUAAACCGAGAAAAGAAAGUGUAAUCCUAAUAAAUCACCAUCGAUUAGAGCUAUAAUGAAUUAAGCUUUACAAAGAAGAAGAAGAAAGAUUACAAUGUGAAGGCAACAAGAAUCAUGACAAAGUGAGAAAAAGAGAGGCCACAUAAGCCCCAAGGGAAAUUGAGAUUUUAUAACACAGCCUAAUUGCAGAAAGCAUAGGCGAAAAACAGGUGCUUGAUUGCAAACAUGCACACGCGCGCGCGCACACACAAUUUGACCACAAAGACCGCAUACCUUUGAGAGUUGGUCCUCUGGGGCAUAGGCAUUUUUCGCACGUUUUCGUGCUUCCUCCUUUUAUGGCCACGUAGUUUUCGUAAGCUUGAUCAAGAAACUCCUCCAAUUGUUCAUCAUACCUAACACCAAAAAAAUGUCAUAAGAUCACAAAGGCAUAAGUUGAUAGAUAUAUUUGUCAAGAUAAUGCGACAGAAGAUAUAGGUAGAAAAGAAUUACUUUCUGCAUUCUUUAUCAGAGUCACUGUCACUGGACAAUUGCUCUUGAGUGUCUCUAUCGGGUCUCUCAUCUUCACAGCCCUCUGCAGUAGCAUUCUCAUCAUCAUCAUCAUAUUCAACAGCAGCAAGAUCUUUUUUACCCUAAACCGAUCAUUCAAGUUUAUAAAAGAAUGAGAUACUUGCCUUAGACCACACUUUUGAAUUGGAAAAAACUAAUAAAUCAAAAUUGCAACUAAUAUUGUCCUACCCAGCCAUUUUUCAUUUAUCCUGAUGUCAAGUACACUACAAUCGAUGAGUACCUCAGUCAGUUUGCGUAACCCUUCUCUGUUGAGUUGUAGCUUGCAGGAUAUUGGGAAAUAAAUAAUUGGCUUGUUGCCAUCUUUGGUUUGUAUCUGUAAACAUUAUGGUUGUUGGCCUUACCUUCUUUUGGUUUUCUAUGGAAUUUGUAGCACCAUAUUUUGUCCACUAUGUCAGUACACCAGUGAUUAAACAAAGUAGUCUCAUGUGCUUGAUCUAAAAAUAAUUAUAAAGUCACCAUGUGGUUGAUCUAAAGAUAAUUAUAAAGUCACAAACACAGAAAAAUUAAAAGUAAUUCAUAAACAUUUGUCAUGUGAAAUUUACUUAAUGGAAGAGAAAUUCUAGGAAACAACUUUAUGGUGAGAAAACUCUAAAAAUCAAACCGAAAGAUAUAUAAUAAAUAAUUUUAUAAGAAUUAGGCUAUGUUUCAAAUAAUAUCACAUAUAGUAAAUUUAUGAGUUGUCGCUCAUCAUAACUCAAUUGUUUCACAUAUUGUAAUUCUUUAAUUUUGAAUAACAACAUAUGUUUCAUAAGAUUUAAAAUGGUAUGACUCAUUUUAUAAUAUUUUUAACUGAAUUGAAAUUCUGCAACUAUAAAAAUUGAAAAGAAUGAACUUGGCGGUAUUACGCUUAUAGUAUUGUUUCUUAUGGUGAACCAAAAGCAAGCCAAAAUUACGCUUACAUCAUCUUACUCUACCGUAAAACUUAUUUAUAAUCAUAACGGUAACACUAAAUUAAUUUUAUUACUGUGAGAGUUUAAUAUUUAAUAGAGGUGUAGUUACAAAAAUUAUUAUUUUAACUUAAUUAUUUUUUGUGCAAGUGAUAUAGCGAUAAAAUAUGCACUAUAUUAAUAACUAAUUAAUACAGCAUGUCAAAUUCAAUGUACUAACAAUGAUGAAAAAGAUAGGCAUAGUUUGAAAAAAACUAGUACAUAUAUCUUUAUAGUGCUGGAAUUAUGUAAAAUCAUCUUGAAAGUCUAAAGAAUAAAUGAUUGUACAAAAUAAUUUUAGAAAAAUAUUUUACUUCAUCUUAAACCUUUAACAUAAUAAGGGAUAUAUUUUUUACAAUAUACCGAUAAUUAUUACUAUUAGAGGUAACUUUCUUAAAACCGGAUUUAAAAAAAUUAUAAUUUAUCAUAAUAUAGAGUUUAUUCUUAUUUAUAAUUAUUAGGCUUGAUAAUCGACUGGGUCGUGUUUGGGCCAUGCCAAGCUCUAGCCCAACUAGGGGUGGCAAAACGAAUAAACGAAUCGAAUUUGAAUCGAAUCGUAAACGAAUUGGGUCAAAAUUAUAUGGAUUCGGAUUCGAUUCGUUUAUUAAACGAAUUGAAAUUUCAGGAUUCAGAUUCGAUUCGGUUAUUAAACAAAUAUUCGGUUCAAUUCGUUUAAUUCGUUUAAUAGAAUUGAUAAACGAAUCGAAUCGAAUCCGGAUUCGUUUAUUAUUCGCUUAUCCUUUACGAAUCCAUAACGAAUCGAAUCGAAUCAGGAUUCGUUUACAAUUCAUUUAGAAAAAUAUAAUUAAUAAACAAAAUUAAGCAAAAAAAACACAAAUUUAAUAUCCCACAACAAAAUACAAAUAAUUCAAAUCAUAUUAUACAGUCAUCCAAAUACUAAAUUACAAAUCCUUAAUAUUACAAAUAACAAUAAUUCAAAUUCAAAUUAUAAAGAAAUGUAAUUUCUUUAAUUCUCUUCAUUUGUCUUUGUCGCCUUGAAAACAAAAAUCCUACACCAAAAAGUAAAUAAAAUGUUAUUAACAUGCUGCAAUAUUGAUAAUAGUCAUUGUAAAAUUUCAAAAAUCAAAUAUAUAGCAAAUUUGUAGCAUUUUCAAGAAAAUAAUAAUUAAACAAGAUAAAAACUUUACCUACCACACUCACACACUGUCAUUUGGAUCAUUGGCACUCUCUGCAGAUGGAGCACAAUUAGUGCUCAUGUUCAUAAUGUUUUGAGUAAGUUGGUCCACAGUGACAUCCAAAUUUUCUACAAUAAUUUUAUAAAAAUAAAUCUUAAUUAGAAACAAUUGCACAUAAUAUUAUAAAAGAAAAGUAAAUAAAUUUUAUGAGCAAGUUUUACCAAUCUCUCCAAACUUCCAAUCUCUAGUAGUAAUAAUUGCUUGAACUAUCUCUAGUAGUAAUAAUUACUUGAACUGUCUCUGGCUUCAAUACACUUCAAAAUUGAUCAAGAACUCAACCGCCAAACAACAACAAAACAACAGUAAAACAGCAACAAAAUAGCAGCAAAAUAGUAGUAAAACAACAACAAAAUAUCAGUAAAAUAGCAGUAAAACAACAACAAAAUAGUGGAAAAAUAACAAAAAAAAUGGUAGCGAAACAGCAGCCAAACAACAGCAGUAAAACAGCAGCGAAACAGCAGUAAAACGACAGUAAAAUAGCAGUAAAUCAGCAACAAAACAACAGCAAAACAGUAAUAAAACAGCAACAAAACAGCAACAAAACAACAGCAAAACGGUAAUAAAACAGCAAUAAAAGGCAAAUUUUCAGUGGUGUACCGUGAUGGUGGGUAGUUAGCGCGGCGGGAAGUGGUGCUGGGGAUGAAAACCUUCAAAUUUUAAAAAGCUUUCAAAUAAAUUUAAGGAUAAAAAAGUAAUUUAAUUAAACGAAUAAUAAACUAAUCGACCCGUAUUCGAUUGGUUUAUGACCGAUUUAUUAAACGAAUAAACGAAUCAAAAUUUUCAAACCUGCAUUCGAUUCGUUUAAUUAACGAAUCGAAUCGAAUUCACCCAUUUAUUAAACGAAUCAAUUUUUUCAAACUCAAACCCAUUUAAUUUGCAUCGAAUCGAAUCAAAUAAACGAAUCCUGACCCAUAUUGCCACCCCUGCCCAACCCUAUGAUUAAAAUGAAGGACUCUAAUACUAAAAAGCUUGACCCUUCAAACUAAAGAACAACCUGGCUUUAAUAAUUUUUUUAUAUUUUAUUUUUUUUUUUAAGAAUAUGACUCCUAUUCUUCAUUCUUUAGUAAUAUUAUUAUUAUUAUUAUUGUUCCUUUUUUUUGUUGGAUUUGUUUGUAAGGAAUUUAAUAAAUUAUUUUUUAUUUAACUUAACAACAAUAGAACGUUUAACAAUCUAACAAAAUUAAUAUAUUAACCAAGCAAUAGGUAAAUAAAUCAAAUACAAAAUAACAAAAUUAAUAUGAAAUAGAGAUAAAUAUCCCUAAAGUGUAGUUGUGACCAUCUAUGUGUAUGUGUGUUUAAUAAUAUUUUUAUUUUAAAAAUUAAUUUAAAGAUCAAGAGUUGAGUUAAAACAUUUUGGUAAAACUUUAACCCUAACCCAAAUGUAAUUAGGUCCUGAUUCCUUAAGCCCUAACCCAACGUUUAACCUUUCAAAUUCGAGUCAAAACCAUUAAAAUUAAGAUCGAAUCAAUCAAGUCGAGGGUCGGAUAAAACCUUUUUGUCAUCCUAAAAAUUACCCUAAAUUAAAAUCAAAAUUUUUUAAAAUUAUAUAAAAAUUAUUCUUAUACACAGUAACAAUAUACGACCCAACAAGAAAUGAACCUGGACGCAUUAGGGCUUUGAUCCACAAACAAACUUUCAAAACCCUCUUAGACCUCAAGAGCAUUUUAGUCCAUUUAAUCAAAAGUAAAAGUGCGGCUACCAGCUAACUCUCCGGAAUUGAACUGAACGAGUUUCAGAAAUGGCAUCGAAAAGCAAGAUUCUAUCCAUCGGCGGGACAGGGUAUAUCGGUAAAUUCAUCGUGGAAGCUAGCGUGAAAGCCGGCCACCCGACGUUCGUGCUCGUGAGGGAAUCCACAGUCUCUGGUCCUUCCAAAUCUCAGCUCCUCGACCACUUCAAAAACCUCGGCGUCAAUUUCCUUGUCGUGAGUUAUCAAUUUUUUUUUUCAUUUUUUUAAUUCCAAAUUUUGACACGUGGCGGUGUAGCCUCUACUUGAUAGACUUGGUUUUUUUUUUUAAUUUAAUUUUUGUGGGUGCUGUUAUUAUUAUGCAGGGAGAUGUUUUGAAUCACGAGAGUUUGGUGAAGGCGAUAAAACAAGUGGACGUGGUGAUAUCAACAGUUGGUCACACUUUAAUAGCCGAUCAGGUCAAGAUUAUUGCUGCCAUUAAAGAAGCCGGUAACGUUAAGGUAUGACAUAAUUAAUGUAAAUGUCUUAGAUUCCGAUCAGGAUUGUGCACUCGUGCACACGUGGUGAUUUAUUCUUCGUGUGGAGCUCGCUGUAGAGUAGAGCUCCCAGUUCCGCUAAUAAACACCCGUCACAUGCGCAAUUGCGCCUCAAAAUAAUUUAAUUAAUUAAUUAGGUAUAAACACCGAUGGCAUGAAAGCAAUUAAAAUUAGUUGAUGUUUAUAAAUUAUUUAUUACUCAGAGAUUCUUCCCAUCGGAAUUUGGAAAUGAUGUUGAUCGAGUCCAUGGCGCCGUGGAGCCAACAAAAUCGACGUAUGACGUAAAGGCGAACAUCCGCCGAGCCGUUGAGGCAGAAGGCAUUCCGUACACGUACGUAGAAUCUUAUUUUUUUGAUGGCUACUUCCUCCCUAAUUUGUUGCAGCCUGGGGCCACUGCCCCCCCUAGGGAUAAGGUUGUCAUCUUCGGCGAUGGAAAUCCAAAAGGUAACAUAAUUUAAUUAAGCUCUGUUUGUUUGGUAUGUAUUUCGGUGUUAAUGUUAUUGUCUGUUGUACAAUGGAUGGUCUUGCUUGGUACUGUUGUUGGAGAGCUGCAGUGUUUUGAUAAACACCUCUAUCCUUAGCUUUCAAGUUAAGUUGAUUUUAUACAACACUUGUUUAAUUAAAAACUUGUAAUAUUCUUACUACUUUGAUAAAAAAAAUAUUACGAUUAAAGUAUUAAUGGCACCAUAAUACGAAGUGAAUCUUAAGUGGUCAUUAUAGAUUUUAAGAUAGAGUUUUAAGUGAUUACCAGAUACUUUAGCUGCUGAACCGCCACAUCAUGGUUGCCACACAACAAUUUCAAACAGAGCCUAAAUAACUUCAUUGCAAAACAGUUAAAUGAAUCUAACUUAGUUUCGUCGUUUGAUUUUCAGCUGUUUUUAACAAGGAAGAUGAUAUUGGAACCUACACUAUCAAAGCGGUUGAUGAUCCGAGAACCUUGAACAAAAACUUUUACAUUCAGCCUCCCGGUAAUAUUUACUCAUUCAAUGAUCUUGUGUCUCUGUGGGAGAGAAAGAUUGGUAAAACCCUCGAAAAGGAGUAUGUUUCAGAGGAGCAGCUCCUAAAGAAUAUUCAAGGUUGGUUAAAACUCUCUUUUUUAAAUGUAUUAAAGAGAGCCGUAUAUUCUCUGCCGUAAAUGUUAUUGAUCCUGUCUUCUCCAAAAUGUUGCAGAAGCUGCAUCUCCACACAAUUUUAUAUUAUCAAUUUAUCACUCUGCUUUCGUGAAGGGAGUUCAAACUAACUUCAAGAUUGAACCAUCUUUUGGAGUUGAAGCCUCGCAGCUUUAUCCUGAUGUCAAGUACACUACAGUUGAUGAGUACCUCAAUCAGUUUGUGUAACCCUUCUCUGUUUCCAGCUGCAGCUUGCAGGAUCUUGGACUGUUGGUAAAUAAAUAAUUGGCUUGUUGCCAUCUUUGGUUUUAUAUGUAAAAAUUAUGGUUGUUGGCCUUACUUUCUUCUGGUUGUCCAUGGAAUUUGUUAGACCAUAUUAUGUUUGCUAUGUCAGUGAUCAAAUGAAGUAGGCCAUGUACUUGAUUUGAGAGUAGUAGUUAUAAAGCCAUCAUGAUCAGGUGGGUGCGUAGGUUGGGCUUCUAUUAGGGUGCGUGUGUUGGGCUUCAGGGGCUUGUGAUAUGGGUUCGACAGCCCCUAACGGGCAGUCAUUAUAAAAAUAAUUAUAGAGUUACAAAUCUAUGUAAAAAGCAAAAAUUAAAAGUAAUUUAUCAAUAAAAAUAAUUAAAAUUAAUAAAAAGUAGGUAUGAUAAUUCAGAAAUUAAAUUAAAGAUAGAAUUCUAAAGAGUUGGAUAAUCCUCCAACUAAACUAAAGAUCUAGUACUUUUGAGAGCAAAUUUAAUUAAAGAAAAGGAUAAGGAAAAACAAUAGAAUAAUAAUAUUAAAAAAUUGCAAAUCUUGGUCUUUUUUUUUUACGAUGAUGUUGAAUUCUUAUAAAUUUAAUCUUAUCUAUAGAAUUAUUUAGUUACUGUAUGUCAAAAUUUCCUAUAAAGAUGAAGAAAAAUUAUAUUAGGAGAAGAUCCAAAUCCGUUUAACUGAUGCAUCAUCGACAACAUGAGUACAACAUUUUCGAAUAAACAAAAGAAACUCGUUUUAUGUGUGAACCAGUUCCAAAAUAAAGAGCAGACUAUUGGAAGGAGACAAAUACUACAAGAAGAACAAAACAUUCUACAAUUCCUACAUGAGCCCGCAACAAUUAAUUAUUAACUCGACAUUCAUUACACUUUUUCUUUAAUUUGACAAAGAAACCAAAAAUAAGAUAAAAUUGACUAAGAAAUAAAAAAAUGACAAAAAUCUUUUUGAAGUUUUGCCAGUUCAGCCAUGCACGCUUAUCUUUAUUCACUUGUUUCCUUUCUUUCCUUUCUUUCCUUUCUUUCCUUUCUUUGCUGAAGCCUUCACAGAUCCUUUACCUUUCUGAGCCUUGCCAAUUUUCCCCUUCUUCAAACCACCUGGCCUUGCUGGAUCCACGUGUCCUUGCAUCCUUUUUCAUUCGUGGAUCAACAAGAAUCUCCCCCUUUCCAGCUCUCUCUUGAACUCCUUGCUUUGCGACCAUGUAUUCUUUGGUAGGCCUUUUGGGUAUAGUUGUCUUGUAUAAUUGUUCAAUUUGAUUCCUCUUCGAACGAUCAGAGAUGUCCGCUUAGUCUGAUAUGACAUUUGCCUUCUUGCGAACCUUCUCAAGAUUUCGCAUGGCAACCCGUAUCUUUCGAGCUUUGGUCUUAGCCACCUUCUUGGCAGUAUGGGUGGGCGAUUCGAUUUUGGGAUAAACUUUUGGUUUCGUAUCGGUUUAGAUUAAAAAAUAAUAUAAAAAAAUAUUUAGAUUUUAAGGGAAAAAAUCCGAACCGAGACUCACCUAUCGAUUUUGGCUCGGUUUCAGUUCAGUUUUGAUUCUCCUAAUAGUUUUAUUUUGCCUUAUUGACUUCCGGUCAAUGACACUUUUGAAAAAUUUACAAAAAAAAAAAAAAUGGCCAUAACAAAAUUUCUAAAUGCAAAUAUUUCCUAAACAUUAGGCUAUACUAAAUUUUUUUAAAAGGUAGGGAUCCAAACGAUAUUAUCCCUCUACUUCAUCUUCAACCUUCGUCACUAGGGAUGGCAAAAUUCAGGUUCGGGUUCGGGUCCGGGUUUAGCCAUUCGGGAUCCGGACCCGGAUGAAUAUUUUCUGUAUCGGACCCGAAAAUAAACCCGCAUUUUUCCACUCCGAGUCUGGUACGGGUUCAACCCGAAAAAAUUCGGGUUCCCAGACUGCGGGUUUCCAACCCGAAUUGAUGAAUCCAAUUGAAAAAAAAAAACUAAAUUCAACUAAAAAAAUCAAAUAGAAAUACAUAUCCAGGAUUUUAGCAAAUCAAAGAAAAAUUAUUUCAUCUGGAAACUAAUUAACAAAAACAACAAUUUUGUUUGGCUGCCCAGAAUCAGCAACCCAAUGUGGCGGCUCGUUCAAAACAUUAGUGUUUUCAACAGAUUUUGGGGUAGGAAAAGCCAAACCUAUCUAGAACAAUGAAUUUGUAUUUUUGGGGGAGAUGAGAUACCUCACUGGUUUGUUGUGUGCGGUGCAGUGUAUCUGAAAUUUGGGGGAUGUGAGAAGGGGAGAGGGAGUGGUAACAAUGGUGAAAGGUCAAAACCAAUAGAGAUGUCCUUCAAAAUGAGCUUCACACCUGUAAAACAGUGAAAUAAAGGUUAGAGGUGAAGCCGGGAUACCCCGGUGUUCACACUCCGAUGCUCAAGUUAGCAAACUCAAGCUUUUAUGACAAAGAGAACUGGCUAGCCCUCUGUAAAUUAGGGUUUAAGGUUCAAGGAAACCUAUUUUUUGGAAUGUGAGUGUUAAUGGUGAGUGAGAGACCUCUUCGAGAAUGAAACAUAGGCGCCUUUAUAUAUGGAGUACCUCAGCUGCCACAUGACGUACCCUUUUUUGGCUAACGUCAUUUUUCCUUUUUAUGAUUUUUGGGUCGUUAUGUGCAUGUUCGCGGGGUAUCUCAUCUUUUGGAAACGUGGCGCGCGCUGGAGAGUGGUCCAGGGUACCUCUGCAGUAGCUGUCGGGUAGGCAGCUGAAGACCACUGUCCUUGGGACAAUGUCCUUCACUUUUGGUAAAGGUGACAGGCGGUUGUCCCCCUUUUUAACACGACAUUUUUUAUUCCUAAUUAUGACAAAAUCGAAUAAUAUCUUUUAAGAGAUGGAGACGUUUCUCAUGGUGGAUAUUUUCAGAGGAUUCUCUUGCAUCUGAUCAGCCGGGUUCCUCCAGUUAUGCAGGGUACCUCUAAUUUUACGGGGUACCUCUAUUUGCGCAGGGUACCUUGAAUCAUGCUAGGUACCUUAGAUUAUGCGGGGUACCUCAUAUUGUGUGGGGUACCUCUAAUUGUGCGGGAUACCUCUAUUUGCGCUAGGUACCUUGAAUCAUGCUGGGUACCUCAGAUUGUGCGGGGUACCUCUAUUUGUGCAGGGUACCUUGAAUCAUGCUGGGCACCUCAGAUUGUGCGGGGUACCUUUAGUCAUGCGAGGUACUUUUAAUCAGGCCAGGUACCCUCUAAUUGUGCUGAGUACCUCUAAUCAUGCAGGGUACCUCUAAUCAUGCGGGGUACCUCUAAUCAGGCCGGGUACCUCAGAUUGUGCGGGGUACCUCUAUUUGCGCAGGGUACCUUGAAUCAUGCCGGGUAUCUCAGAUUGUGCGGGGUACCUCAAAUUGUGUGGGGUACCUCUAAUCGUGCGGGGUACCUCUAAUCAUGUCGGGUACCUCGGAUUGCACUGAAAUUAUUCCAUUCGUUGACACGUGGCGUUAUGCUAUCUUUCUUAUUUUUCCCCCAAACAACAUCCCUCUAGUUUCUUUUGGCAAGAAGUUUUGGAGGCAAAAGAAACUUACAUAAAAAGUAGGAGCGACACGUGGCGAUAUGAUGUUUAGCUCGAUGGAUAACUAAAUAGAGGGCGCCUCUAGGGGUACCCUGAGAACCCAAAAAGGGAAGAUGGGCUCCAUUUCCUCGGAAAUGGCUACCACUUUGGACAUGUUGGAAAUGAUAGAGCUAAUUGAUCAAAAAAAUUUCAUCUAUUUCUGGGGAAGAACACCAAAUACGGGUAGAGGGUAUCGUUAGGGUACCCCACCAUUAUCCAUAGUUUGUUUUCUAGUGACUGCCAUGUAUAAAUCGCUCUGGUGAAGGCUUCAAUACAUUCUUUGGGCAUUUAAGAAGCAAUUAUUUGAUUAUCUCGGGAUCCACCUUAUUUAAGGGUAUAUUUCCUUCAUGUGCUUCGAAGAAAAAAAUAAAAUCACAGGGCCUUCUUCCUUGUAACUUCAGAGGUACCAUCGACAGAAGAACAUAGUCGACAAUGCUUUUAAGCGUAUCAUGAUCGAGGAAUGGAGUGCUGAUCUGGGGUUGGUGGUGCCAAGAGUGGAGAAGAUGGUAGAUGAACCGGCUAUCUUGAAGGCGAUUAAUGAUAGCGGGGCUCCCAACACAUCUUGGUCUGAAAGCCCAUUGAGAUCAGCUGAGGUACCUCAGAUGAGGUAUCUAUAAGGUACCCCUGAUACUAACCCUUGUGUUUUUGCUACUUUUAGCACUUUAUUGAUCCCUUCAUCCUAAGGGAUGAAGUUGAAGAUAAAUAUCCUGUUGUAUAACCUUGUUCGACAUUACUGACAAGAUGUAUGGGGUACCUUGUUAGCCUAUAUGGCUAUAAAUAUUGAUUUUGAUGAUAACAAACCACAUGUAUUUAUUGAGUAAAGAUUUAUGAAUUGUGCUUUUAUAAUGAGAAAAUGAUGUUAUGGAAUUAAAUCUUUUUGAACUAAAAUGAAAGUAAUUUUAAAAUCUUUGAUAGUAUUUUAAAUUUCGGAUUUGUACAUAUUUGAAACUAUUUAAAUGUUUUUAGGUCAUUUUGUAAUUUCACAAAGUUUGGGCGAAGUCAUAAUUUCAUAAAGUUGUGGGAUUGAGAAAGCAUUAUCUAAAAUUAUGAAAUUGGACAUAUUUGCAAACGUUUAUAACGUUUUGGGCCAUACCACAGUUUUAUAAAGUUUUAGGGUCAAAUUGAAAAUAUUAGAAAAUUUUCACUGUAGCAGGUUACUGUAGCAAGCAGCUUACCGGAUUCAGAAAAUCAGAAAUCCGGAUUCGAGGCAGUAAGCAUCCAGAACCAAAACGGCUUACCGGAUUCCUGAAUCCGGCAAACCGGUUAGGCAAAAUUUUGAAUUUUGCCUUAACGGUAACAUAAAUCCGGCUUACCGAAUUCUAUAAAAUGGCAAACUGGAUAGCCUAGAAUGUGAGUAACGGCUAGUUUUCGAGCUCAAGCUAUAAGAACUCAAAUCCAACUCAUUUUGAAGCUCUCCAACAAGCAAGAACAAAAAGCACACGUGAUAUCUUGAGCCUUCAACUUGUAAAACACAAUUCAUUGAAUCAUUCAUUGUUCUUCAUCUUUGAAUAUCUACUCAUUGAGUGAGUUUCAUUGUAUCUUUCAUUUCUUCAAUUCAUUUGUAAGAGUUUGAGUGUGUGAGACACUUGAGUGAAGAGAUUGGGAGAUAAUCUCUUUGUUGUAAAGGUUUAUUGACACCUCGAAGUCAAUUGUAAUCGUUGAAGCCUUGGAAAGGCUUGGAUAGUGAAAUCCUCGAGCUUGGAUCGCUUGGAGGCGUGGACGUAGGCGGGGAUUACCGAACCACGUAAAAAUUCGUGUGUUUGUUUCUCUUCUCCCUUACUCUUUAAUUAUUGUACCAUUAUUGAACUUAUUACUUUCAAUUAUUGUUAAGACAUUAGAUUGCUUGUUGUGUGGAUUUGUUAGGAUAAUUUUUAAAAAUCCAAUUCACCCCCCUCUUGGGUUGCACACUUGUAUUUCAUACCUCAUGUACCCUAAUGCUUGGAUAUCCCUUGAGCUAUCUGUUACUUCAUGGCGGAAUAACCCAAUUGCAUCAAACAUAUGGCGAUUCUUCCAGAUAUGCUUGUCGCUUAUCUUAAGCUUUCUUAGGGUUCCUCCUGGUGUAUCUGAGGAAUAGCUUUCUGGCGUGGGGUACCCUUAAUCAGCGUAUGGUGAUUUUCAUAGAAAUGCUUGCCGCAAAUCUUCACAAAACUUGUUGCGGUUGCUUUUGAGAGAUUGUGCGGGGUACCUUGAAUCAUGCCGGGUAUCUCAGAUUGUGCGGGGUACCUCAAAUUGUAUGGGGUACCUCUAAUCGUGCGGGGUACCUCUAAUCAUGUCGGGUACCUCGGAUUGCAGUGAAGUUAUUCCAUUCGUUGACACGUGGCGUUCUGCUAUCUUUCCUAUUUUCCCCCAAACAAUUAGUAAAGAGAGCUAAAGAACUAGCUUUAGUUACGAGCAGAAAAUCAGAAGUCAAGGAGCAGCCAAAGCACUUUUAAUGGUGAUGGUAAAACUAGAGAGGUAAUGCAAAUAAGUUUACGUUGAUUGGAUAUUCAGAAGAAGUAAUACGCCAUUAAAAGCAACAAGUUUUCCAAAAAGCCAACAAAGACAGAGACCACCACACCACCCCGCACUGGAUGAAAAACGAUGAAAGCAUGAUAAGUGGCAUCGAGUAAGCCACGUUCUCUCUCUCUCUCUCUCUCACUCGCACUCGCACUCGCACUCGCACACACUGUUACUAAAAUGACCAAAAAUAAGAUUCCCAUCAAAAUAUUUUCGAGUAUCGUUCUUGAAAGUGGCGGCGGCUGAUGAUGAUGAACACAGCCGCGAUUGCGAUUGGCGAAGGCGGCGUUCUGCCCGUAUCACAGCUAGUUAUCGGUCGCGGCAGAAAAGAUAAUGAAACGACGGCUGAUGAUGAUGAUGAUGAUGUUGAACAGCCGCGAAUAUGGGUAAGUGAUGCGACGAUGAUUUGAUUUGAUGAAGAUGAGCUGAACAUGGAAUAAGAGAGGAAAUGUUUGUGCGGCUGGGAAAGUGUAAUGAACUGCUAGGGCACCAUUUGGGUUUUUUUGCUUUCCUAUUUAUAUUAAAAAUAAUUUUUAAAAAUUAAUAUAUAUCCGGGUUCGGGUUUUGGAUGUACGGGUUUACCUAGACCCGGACACAUGCGGAUUCAGCAGCACCGACCACCCACAGACUUGGAUUUGAUUACAAAGUUGGGACUUAGGAUUUGGGUUUGUGGCUGCCGAAACAGAAAGUGAGAGAGUAGAAAGUAGAGACUGAGAGUGGUGCAAACAUGUGUAAUUUUGUGUGUGUGUCUAUAUAUAUAUAAUGUGAAAUUACAAAAAUGCCAUUAUAUCAGUUCAAUUCGAAUUUUGUAACUUGUGAUCCGAAAACUGAACCAAACCGAACCAUUUGGUUUGGUAUUUAUAUAUUCAGGUUUUUAAUUUAAAAAAACUAAAUUGAAAUUGAAAGAACUAAACCGAACCGAAUUUUUUUUUUUUUUGUUUCGAUUCAAUUAUGCCCAUCCCUACUUAGUAGGCUGGGUAUCAAUUUCUUUGAAUUGUGCUUUCAUUGCAGUAAUCUCCUCCUUGGUAAUAGGUUUAAUUGCUUGCUGAUGCCACCUUUCCUCUAGUAACAACUAGUCUAACAAGCCAUCAUCGUCAAACAUGUACCUAUUAUAAGCAUCAUCCAGAAUUUGCUCUCUUUGCUUUUUGCUUAGUGUCUUCUUUGCACAAGCUAUUAUCUUAGCUUUUGUAUCAAUAUCUUUAUCUUUUGAUUCACCAGAGGAUGAAUCAUCACCGGAAUAGAGUGGUGAAGGCCCCAUAGAUUAGUGUGAUCAAGUUCUAGUGUAGUUUUGGUUUUGAUUUCAGUAUUAGGAAAAUGAAGCCUAUGAAAUUUACCAAGCUAACAUGCUUCACAAAAGUGCUUUAAUACUUGACUAUGAAUACUUGAAGAGGAUAAAUGAGGAUAAAUAAAUUUAAAUAUACAUUAGAUUUUGAGGGUUGGGAUGUCAAAACUUUUGGUGAAAAAGAGUUAGUACAAGCAUUUUUAUUGAGAUUGAAAACAUUUCUUAAGAUGAUCAAUACUAGUUACAAAAUUGGAAUGAAAAAAAAAAGGCAACAUAGACAAAGGUUUGUUUAUUUGAUUGUAAGAUAGAAAAGACUUGUAUUUAGGUUGUGGAAAGGAUUUGAGCAGCAAUUUAUACAACCUUUUCUCAGCAAAACCUUCCUCUUCAAUGAAUCCUUCACAAAACAAAUAGAUCCAAGAAAUUCGACAAAUAAAUUGUUGUCAAUGGUAAGUUUUGAAAUGCUCAAUAGAUUCUUUGUAAUGGAUGGAACAAACAGUACAUCCUUAAGUAAAAUAUGUCUUAUAUUAUCUUUUUUUAAUUCUUUUUAAAAAAAUAAGUGAAUAAUAGUAUGUCAAUCUCAAAUAUCAAUAUGUACAAUUUUUAUUUGUGUAAGAAUUUGCAUCCAAUAAUCAUCAAUACAUAAUUGUCUUUUAAUUGAAUGGUUCUCACCUCCCUUCCAAACUUUGAAAAGGUAAAAUAAGAUCAAUCAUGUCAGUGGCAAUUAAUAUAAAGAUUACUUUUCUUAUUUGUAGUAACGUCCUCUGAUUAUUUAGCUGAUUUUCAAGCUACACAUUUAUUCCAUUUGAUGUUGAUAUUAGUAAAAUUAAUGUAAUAUUUAAAAAGGAAAAAAAUCCGUCGAGCUAAAAGCCGAGUAUAAAAUUGAACCAGACCCAAACCAGAAACGCACGCCAACAACAUGUUUGCGUCAGUCGGCCCAUGCCCAUAAACCCACCAAGCCCGAUCCAAAUAGAAAAAUGAAUUGGACACCCGAGAUAGCAGAAACAGAUAAGUAACGGUCGUGCUAUCCCCAAUCUCAUAUCUUCAACGGUAUCCAGCCAACAUCUCAAAGUGUUCAAUUUUUUUUUAAGCCAAAAAAAAAUUCAAAAUUUUCAAGCGGAAUCUGGGAAGAUAGCGAUGAAAAGCAAGAUUCUGGUUAUCGGCGGAACCGGAUACAUCGGUAAGUACUUAAGGUGCGUUUGAAAUUGAGGUUGAGCAACUAUAACUUUAAAACUGCAGCACUAAAAUAUUUGGUAAACACUAAUUGUUGUAACUUAAAAGCUAUUUAAUAUAAUUUUUCACUUGUAUAAUAAAAAAUUUAUUAUCUUUAAUAAUUUUGUCAAAAUUAUUAUUUAAAAUAUAUACAGUAAGAGAGAUUGUAACAUUUUCAAUCUUUGGUUUGAUAUUCUGGAAGAAAACGAUUUGCCGUUUAUGGAGAAAACUGCUAACCGUUUAAUUUCAGAGAGCAUGUUUUCUAUUCUAGAGAAAACGGCUAACCGUUUGGAGAAAACGGCUAACCGUUUGGAGAAAAUGGCUAACCGUUUGGAGAAAACGGCUAACCGUUUAAUUCCAGAGAGCAUGUUUUCUGUUCUAGAGAAAAUGACUAACCGUUUGGAUAAAACGGCCAACCAUUAAUUACAGAGAGCAACUUAUUUGACAUUCUGGAAUAAAACGGCUCACCGUUAUUGAGAAAACGGCUAACCGUUUAUUUCCAGAGAGCGUGUUUUUGCGUCAACUGGAAAAACGGUUAGCAAGCUUAGAAAUUUCAAUUGUCAAUCGAUGCAAACUCAAACCAAAAGAGUGUUUUUUUGAAGAAGUACUAUUUUUAAUGGUUGUAUUCUUUCAAAUAAACAUCUUCUUUAUUAAAGAUAGACAAACUAUUAUAUCAUAAUUAGAUUUUGCAGGUUUCAUAUAUGUUCUGGAAAUACAAUCUUAUUUUUUAGAGAUUGUAUUCAGGAUUUGAUAUAUCUUAGGGGUAAUUUGCCAUUAAAACUCUAUAGCAAACCAAGAUUGGUGAGGGUAAAUAAAACCUUAAAGAAAAAUGUGCAAACACGUCUCAAAUCCUAAGAAAUUUUCUUUGUUCUUUGCCUCCAUAUUCUUAAAAUUUGAAAAUUCACCCAUCAAUCUUUAAGGUUUUAUUUUGAUGCAAAUAGAGGCUGAGAAGAGUUUGACGUCAUUUCUUAAUCCUAGUGUCCAUCUCGAUCGUUUUGAUGGAACAAAUUUCACUCGUUGGAAGGAAAAAUUGUUCUUUCUUCUUACUGUUCUUAAAGUGGCAUAUGUUCUUAAUCCGAAAUUGGAACCAUUUCCAGAACCAAGGGAAGAUGAUACCGAAGUUGUUAAGGCUGUAAGGAAACGUCGUGAAGAUGAUGAAUUGAUGUGCCGGGGUCACAUACUCAAUACGCGUUCUGACAGGUUAUAUGAUCUCUACAAUUUUAUGACUUCUUCGAUGGAAAUUUGGAAUGCUCUUGAGUACAAAUACAAAACGGAGAAAGAAGGUACUGACAAAUUCCUUGUCUCUAAAUAUUUUGAAUUUAUUAUGGUAGACACACAAUCCAUUCUUGAUCAAAUACAUGAGUUAUAAAUUAUUGUUGCUAAGCUUCGAGAGUUAAAAGUUAAAAUUUCUGAAUCAUUUCAAGUUGGGACUAUUAUUGCUAAAUUGCCUCAAAGUUGGAAUGAUUAUAGAAAGAAACUCCUUCAUAGUAAAGAGAACAUAACUUUAGAAGAAUUGCAAAAACACUUGGUAAUUGAAGAAGAGACUAGGUCUCGCGAAUCCAAGGAUAAACAUGAUUCUACUAAAGUUAAUGUUCUUGAAGCUAGUAAAUUCUCAAAGAAUUUUAAAGUCAAGAAUGACAAGAAAUUUAAGAGGUCCAGCACACAAAAGUUUUCUGGAAAUUGUUUCUUUUGUGGUAAGAAAGGUCAUCGCCAAAGUGAUUGCAGAUUCAAGAAAAAAAAAGAAGAAGUGAAUUCCUAUAAAGCUAAUGUUAUUGAAAACAAAUCUGAAAAGAUUUGUGCUAUGGUUUCUGAAAUACAAAUUGGCAUGAUUAUCGAAACCAAUAUGGCUGAAACUAAGUCCUAUGAUUGGUGGCUCGAUUCGGGUACAACAAUUCAUGUUUGUAAUGAUAAGAAAUUUUUAUUAUCAUACAAAGAAGAAACGGAAGGACAAAUGGUUCUCAUGGGGAACAAUAAUGCAGCCAUAGUAGCAGGGAAAUGAGUAGUUGAGAUCAACUUCACUUCUAGAAAGAAAGUCACAUUGUAUAAUGUCUUUCAUGUACCUUCCGUUAGGAAGAAUCUUAUUUCUGCUAGUUGUAUGUGUAAGCAUGGGCUUAAGAUUGUGCUUGAGGGUAAUACUUGUAUUAUCUCAAAGAAUGAAUUAUUUGUUGGGAAAGGGUAUUCUUGUGAUGGAAUGUACAAACUCAACAUUAAUAAUAAUAAUAUCAACUUAGCUUAUAUUGUUGAGUCUUGUGAUGUUUGGCAUGCUAAAUUAGCACAUUUGAAUUUUAGAUCUUUGAAAUACAUGUCUGAGCAUGGUUUGAUUAAUUGCAAUGAUGUUAAAGGUCAUAAGUGUGAAAUCUGCAUCCAAGCUAAAUUAACUAAGAAACAUUUUCUUAAAGCCGAACGAAAUACUCAAAUAUUGGAUUUAAUAUAUACCGAUAUUUGUGAGUAUAAUGGCGUUUUAACAAGAGGAGGUAAGAAGUACUUUAUCCCUUUUAUUGAUGAUUGUUCUAGAUACACUUAUAUGUAUUUACUUAGAACAAAAAAUGAAGCUUUUGAUAAAUUUAAAAUUUUCAAAGCUGAAGUUGAGAACCAAAAAGAUAAGAAAAUCAAAAUGGUUCGUAGUGAUAGAGGUGGUGAAUAUUUCUCAAUUGAAUUUAAUAAUUAUUGUGAAGAAUUUGGAAUUAUUCACCAAAGAUCAGCUCCAUUUACUCCUCAACAAAGUGGUUUGGCUGAAAGAAAGAAUAGGAUCUUCACGGAUAUGAUAAAUUCCAUGAUCCAUAAUGCAAAACUACCAAAUAAUUUGUGGGGGGAAGCAUUACUCACUGCAUGUCAUAUUCAUAACAGAAUUACAUCUUUGAAAACACAUAUAUCUCUUUAUGAAAUUUGGAAAGGAAGAAAACCAAACUUGAUGUAUUUAAGGGUCUAGGGUUGUUUAGCUUUUUAUAAAAUACAUGAUCCUAAAUCAUCAAAGUUAAGUGCUAGAUGUAUAAAGAGUGUUUUCGUAGGAUAUGCUGAAAAUUCUAAGGCUUAUAGGUUGUUAGAUUUAGAUUAUAAUGUGAUUGUGGAAUCUAGAGAUGUUGAAUUUAUUGAGAAUAAAUUUCAACAUGAUUCUAAUAUUGAAUUAGAAUCAAUUAUUGAUCAACCAUGUGUUAAUACUCCUGUUACCUCCACUAACAAUAAUAAAAGGAAAGAGUCUAUGACAUCUUUCGAACCAAUGAGGAGUCAACGUGAAAAGAAAGAAAAGAGUUUAGCUCCGGAUUUUAUUUCAUCACAAGCACUACUCUUCUUGGUUGAAGGGGAUAGAAAGAAUGUACUUAACAAAGUACCAUUAUUGUUAAAUAUUGAAAAAGAUCCAAAGACAUUUAGCGAAGCUAUGUCUUCUAGAGACGCUUCUUUUUAGAGAGAGGCGGUAAAUGAUGAAAUUGAUUCGAUUAUUUCGAAUCAAACAUGGGUCUUGGUUGAUCUUCCUCCAGGAUCUAAACCAAUUAGCAGCAAAUGGGUAUUUAGAAGAAAGUACAAUAGUGAUGGUUCUUUGCACACUUUUAAGGCUAGAUUAGUAGCCAAAGGGUUUAAGCAAAGAAAUGGUAUUGAUUAUUUCGAUACAUAUGCUUCGGUAGCAAGGUUAACUUCUAUAAGAGUGCUAUUUGCAAUUGCUUCAUUGAACAAUUUGUAUGUGCAUCUAAUGGAUGUUAAAACCGCUUUUCUUAAUGGUGAUCUUGAUGAAGAAAUCUAUAUGGAACAACCUGAGGGAUUUGUUUUACCAGGAAAUGAGAAAAAAGGUAUGCAAAUUAGUCAAAUCACUUUAUGGUUUAAAGCAAGCACCAAAACAAUGGCAUGAGAAGUUUGAUUCGGUAAUUUUAUCUCAUGGUUUUAAGCAUAAUAAUGCUGAUAAAUGUAUAUAUUUUAAAUUUACGAAUGAUUUUGGUGUGAUUAUAUGCUUGUAUGUUGAUGACUUGCUUAUCUUUGGGACAAAUAUGCAAGGAGUAGAUGAUACAAAGAAGUAUUUAACUUCACAAUUUAAGAUAAAAGAUCUUGGUGAAGUAGAUACUAUCUUAGGUGUCAAAGUGAAGAAACAUAGUGAGGGUUACUCGUUGUGUCAAUCUCAUUAUAUAGAGAAAGUGCUUCUUAAAUUCAAUUAUUUGAAAUUUAAAGAAGCUAAUACCCCAUAUGAUUCUAGUAUUAAAUUAUUAGAGAAUUCAGGCCGAGUAGUAGCACAACUAGAAUAUGCUAGUGCUAUUGGUAGCUUGAUGUAUGCUAUGCAUUGUACGAGGCCUGAUAUAGCAUUUGCAGUUUGCAAAAUGUCAAGAUUCACGAGUAACCCUAGUGUUGAACACUGGAAAGCAAUUGGUAGAAUACUUGGUUAUCUUAAAAGGACCAUUCAUUUGGGUUUAUUUUAUAAUGAUUAUCCUGAAGUACUGGAAGGAUAUUCAGAUGCUAGUUGGGUAACCAAUACAAGAGAUAAUAAAUCCACUUCUGGUUGGAUUUUUACAAUUGUUGGAGGAGCAGUUUCCUGGGCUUCAAAGAAACAAACGUACAUAACUCAUUCAACAAUGGAAAGUGAGUUUAUAGCACUCGCAGUUGCAAGCAAGGAAGUAGAAUGACUGAGAAAUUUGUUGUUUGAUAUAAUGUUAUGGCCACAACCGAUGCCAUAUAUUUCUUUGUACUGCGAUAGUGAAGCUACAUUGUCUAGAGCUUAUAAUAAAGUGUAUAAUGGAAAGUCUAGACAUAUUAGCUUGAGACAUGAAUAUGUGAAACAAUUAAUAGCAGAUGGUGUUAUUAAUAUUGUUUAUGUUAGGACUAAUAAGAACCUAGCGGAUCCUUUAAUAAAAGGUCUUACAAGAGACUUAGUUAAGGAUACAUCUUUUGGAAUGGGAUUGAAACCUUUAAAUAAUAAAGUCACCAACGACGAUAACCCAACUAUGUAGUAGUUGUACCGCUACUCCAUAGUUAAAUGGAUAAUAACAAGUUGUUGUUAUGUGACUGGUUUGGCACCGAGUAAUAAAUAAUCACAUUCGAGAUAUUCGGUGCAAAUAGCUACGAGGUUGAGGUUGAGUAUUUAUUCUUAAUGAAGUUCAAGUCUUAUAGUAGCUAAAGACAUGAUUUGAAACUUCACCUAAGUGAACAUAAGAAAUGGUGCCGUUUCUAACAAGAUCAUGGUUUAAUCUAGUAAAUGUUCAUGAAUUCAAGAUAGAGCACAAGGCCGGAAUAGUGCUAAAUAUUGGAACACAACUUUGAAAAUCUGGGAUAGCUUAUAUGUGAUGUAUCUCCGGUAUUUACUUAAGAGACAAAGUUUAAUGCUUAGCACAUUAUUGUCUUGUAAAUGCUUUGAAAUACACUCACUAAUUAAAGGUUAAAAUCGAAAGAUAUCUUUUUGUAUGUAUAAGUUUAUCAUUAAUAAAUAUGAAAAAUAUUACAAUCUAGUGGGGGAUUGUAAGAGAGAUUGUAACAUUUUCAAUCUUUCGUUUGAUAUUCUGGAAGAAAACGGUUUGCCGUUUAUGGAGAAAACGGCUAACUGUUUAAUUCCAAAUAGCAUGUUUUCUGUUCUAGAGAAAACGACUAACUAUUUGGAGAAAAUGGCUAACUGUUUAAUUCUAGAGAGCAUGUUUUCUGUUCUAGAGAAAGCGGCUAACCGUUUGGAUAAAACGACCAACCGUUAAUUACAGAGAGCAACUUAUUUGACAUUCUGGAAUAAAACGGCUCACCGUUAUUGAGAAAACGGCUAACCGUUUAUUUCCAGAAAGCGUGUUUUUGCGUCAAUUGGAAAAACGGUUAGCAAGCUUGGAAAUUUCAAUUGUCAAUCGAUGCAAACUCAAACCAAAAGAGUGUUUUUUUGAAGAAGUACAAUUUCUAAUGGUUGUAUUCUUUCAAAUAAACAUCUUCUUUAUUAAAGAUAGACAAACAAUUAGAUCAUAAUCAGAUUUUGCAGGUUUCAUAUAUGUUCUGGAAAUACAAUAGAUCAUAAUCAGAUUUUGCAGGUUUCAUAUAUGUUCUGGAAAUACAAUCUUAUUUGCUAGAGAUUGUAUUCAUGAUUUGAUAUAUCUUGGGGGUAAUUUACCAUUAAAACUCUAUAGCAAACCAAGAUUGGUGAGGACAAAUAAAACCUUAAAGGAAAGUGUGCAAACACGUCUCAAAUCCUAAGAAUUGUUUUUUGUUCUUUGCCUCCAUAUUCUUAAAAUUCGAAAAUUCACCCAUCAUAUACAUACUACAUAUUAUUAACUUUUGUUUUAUAACUAUAGUGUUUUUUUUUUACCGCAACUGUAGUUUAAAAACUACAGCACCUCAAUCCCAAACAAGACCUUAGUGGAAGCGAGCGCAAAAGCCGAUCACCCAACAUUCGCGCUUGUGAGAGACUCCACUCUCUCCACUCAUUCCAAAUCCAAAAUCCUCGACCGUUUCAAAAAUCUCGGCGUCAAUUUAGUUCUUGUGCGCCACUCUUUUAGCUUUCCAAUUUUCCCGCCAAUUUUCUUUUAUUGUGAUUAAUUAAUUAAUUAAUUAAUUAAAGUAAAGAUUUUAUAUUAUAAUUUUGUUUGCAGGGAGAUCUAUACAGCCAUGAGAGCUUGGUGAGUGCAAUAAAGCAAGUGGAUGUUAAGGUAAUGAUUAACUUAAGUAAAUGCGUUAACUAAUUACUUGGGAUUUUAAAUUCAAAUGCGUGAAUUGUUCUAAAAAAUGAUUUAUGUUUAUUAGUCAGAGAUUCUUUCCUUCAGAAUUUGGAAAUGAUGUUGAUCGCGUGCAUGCCGUUGAGCCAGCAAGAACAUCAUUUGCCACCAAGGCUAAAAUCCGCCGAGCUGUUGAGGCUGAAGGAAUUCCAUACACCUACGUAGCUUCCAAUUUCUUCGCUGGUUUGUAUCUUUCCAGUUUCUCACAGCCUGAAGCCACAGCUCCUCCAAGGGAUAAAGUGGUCAUCGUAGGUGAUCGAAAUGCAAAAGGCAAAGCGCUUCUGGAUACAUUUACUCUGUACACGCAAUGUGUGGUUACUGUUUGGGGAUAAAAAAGGAGAUUAAUUAAUAAAGAAAAUGAAAUUAUUGAGGGAUUUGCUGAAGAGUUGCGUGCACUCCUCAUUUUUCUCCACCACUCAUCUUACUUGCAAAAUGCAAUGACCAAACUAUCCUCGCCAAAGCCUAGACAUUUACUUGUGUUCAAAGGCCAUUUAAGAGAGACAAGUACAAAAAAUUAUAAAGGAUAGUGAGCAAAAGAAGAAAAUGGAAGGAGGGGAGAAUAAAAAAUGGGAGUGGGGCGUUAUCUAGGGAGGAUUUUUAUUUUUAUUUUUUUUCCUCUCUUCUCCAUGGCAUCUCUUUCUCUCUUUCUCCCACUAAGAAAUUCUUUCUUUUACACUCUAUUUUACUUUUAUUCAAAUUACACAAAAAACUUUUGGUUUUAAGGCAAUGUUUAUUAAGCCACGUGAAUUUGAAAAAGCAGGAAUAAGGGGAUGAUUUUAACACAUUAAUUCACCAACAUUAAUUGGAAAAGAUCAGUUGCCACUUCGAAUCAGAGUAAUUUCUUCGGCAAUAGCCAAAUAUUGAUAUUUGAUCUUGACACUGUAGUUAAAUCAAUGUAACUGGUUUUGUCAUUUGAUCCCCAGUAAUUUUUAACAAGGAAGACGAUAUUGGAAUUAAUUCUAUCAAAGCGGUGGAUGAUCCGAGAACACUGAACAAAAUACUUUACAUCAGACCCCGUUGCAAUAUCUACUCAUUUAAUGAUCUUGUGUCUCUGUGGGAGGAAAAGAUUGGCAAAGCCCUUGACAGGGUCUAUGUUACAGAGGAACAACUUCUGAAAAACAUUCAAGGUUAGUUAGAACUAUCACUUUAUCAAGUGCAUAGAUGUAACUGACCGAUAAUGGAAUUUUUUUUCCUUCUCCAAAAUGCGAUAGAAUCUAAUCGGUUUCAACAAUCUCAAGAACACCUAUUCAUGGUUGUGUUGUUUGAAAUCUGUAUGUAUCAGUUUUCUUUCUAGAUCUCAGAUUGCUCGCAAGGAUGUCAAGUUUUGAUGAUGCUUGCCUGUUUUCCUGUGUUUACAGAAGCUUCAUAUCCACUCAAUAUGAUAUUACCUAUUGGGCACUCUGCCUAUGUCCUGGGAGAUCAGACCAACUUCGAAAUUGAACCUUCAUUUGGAGUAGAGGCAACAGAGCUUUAUCCAGAUGUCAACUACACUACUGUGGAUGAGUACCUCAACCAGUUCAUAUAAACCUUCUGAGAUGAGCAGCAGGAUCCUAACAAAAAAUUGGGUGGUUUCCAUCCCUGAUUCUAUGGUAUAAAGAUAGCGGCUUUCCCUGCUUUUGCCAGUUCAAUGAAGUUUGUUAGAUGAUGUUAUUUAUACUAUACUAGCAAAGAUCAAGUUGCCUUUCUUGUCAAGAAGCCAAGCUCUGGCAUUGGUUUAUGCUAGUUUUUCAUGUUUAUUACUUUUUUUGCAUUCAAAAUGAUAAAACUGCAGAGGUUGUUGCAUGCACGUCAUUUGUUAGUAGGGGUAUCAAUUUAUGAACGUAUGAAGUAUCUCUUCUGCAACGGCAUCCUCCUUAACUGUCAGUAGGAUCACAAUAAGUCGACCAACCAUCUACCGUAUGGAUUAUCUAUAAAUUGAAAUUGGUGUGUAUUAUGGAUCUGUCACUCUGCUGUUUCUGUUUUCUUUUCUAUUUUUACCAAGAAAGAAACAUUGUUAAAACUGAAUGGUUGUUAUCUCGUCUUGUUGUAAUGUUGUGUAUGCUUUCUAGAAAAUAAUGAAGUGCCAAAUAUGAAAAUACUAGUGGCUACCUUACCAUCCUUAAUAAGUUGUCUGAUUGUCACCGUCAACAAUCACUCUCAGCAACUCAUAAUCCAUUUAAGCAUAUUAUAAAAUAAUCAAUUUUGUAUUUGCACCAACUUUUAGUUUUAAAUGACAAUUUCGUUGAUCCCCACACUUCUGUACUAAUCAAAUCCACUGAAACUGGACUUUUUUUUCUUUUUUUUUAUAAUUACAUCGAUUGCAUUGGCUAUUGCAGGGAAAAGACUGCCUCUACAGGGAACUAAACUUUCAGAAUUGUUCUUAUGAGGGUUUGAAUAUGCUCUCGUACUAGGUCAAUGGCCUAUUGGUUCGAGACCAUUCACAAAGAAAGAAAUGAGUUUUGCUUGUAUAAAUGAAAGAAAUCCAAAUGAUAACUAAUGUAUAGUGGUACAUGAGAAAAAUAAUUUCAGCCCGUGUAAAGUCAAAAAGAGAAAAUAUUAAAAGAAAGGAUAAUGUCAUUGAGUUCGGUGAAGUGAAAGAAAAUGAAAAACAUGGGAUUUAGUCAAACUUAGUGUCCCAAUCAGCAGAAAAAGGUUUUAGAAACUCACCUCAAGUUAAGCCAACUAUUAGGAGCUUUAUUUAAUCAUGACUUUCUAAUGUAUAGUACUCCAAUACUAAACGAGGGCUACCUCUACGCUUGCAAUUGUAAAUGAAAUUGAGUUCGUGACGCACAAUGAAGUGAGCAAAAUGAGUUGAGAUCUGAGAAUAUAUUAAAGAAAAUAUGAAUCAAUGAAUUUUGGUUAAAAAAAACAAAUGCUGGUUCUUCAAGACCUGCGUGUAUUGUGUAAGUUUUGUUAGGAGAAGGAAAGCAUUUUGGUCUAAAACGCACUAAAUCGGAUUCAUUUGCUUGAUAUCUAAUAAGGGUGAAUUAACCACUCGCCCACAGCAAUUCAAGUCCCAAAAAAAUUAUUGUGGGGGCUAAAUUUCUUCUUUAAUUAUAACAAAUAAUUGAGUGGAGGAUAAAAAUUUAGGCCAUGUAUAACAAUAACUAAUAUAAACUAGUCCUAAUAAUAGUAUAAUUGUAAAUAUCAGUUGUAGUCUCAUACAAUAUAAGUUUAUAGAUUAUAAUAUCGGCAUAAAAAGAAAAAUGAUAUCUGACGGUCAAUCAAUAAAAGGACAAAAACUUGGAGUAACAUACCACAAAGUCAAUGUAGCUGGACAGAUGAAUAUAAUAUGUAAACAAAUUUAAAUGGGAUAAUACCAUACGGUACAUACAUAACAUUUUAAAACUGAAUUAAAAAAAUAAAAUUAAAACUGAAUUGGAAUUCGUAUGUGUAUCCAGCUACCUUGCAACAGUUGUAAGGUACCCUAACUUUGCAACAAUUUCAUCCUUCGUGCAUUCGGUCACAAAGUCCAAAUUAGGCACGUUUAAGAAUCGAACUGAAAAACUAAAAAAAAAGAAUCCGGCGAUAUUUGCGAACCGGAAACGAGCCAGCGUUAUGCUUAUGUCAUUUCAGAGAUAUCAACAGUCGUGCUUUCAGUCCUUAAACCUCAAGGGCAUUUUCGUCCUUUCACUCAAGCGUGAAACUGCAUGUAAGAACUGCUUCGCUUACACGCUCCAUGCACAUUUAAAGGCACCACUGUCGGAUAAAAAAUAUCCAUCCAUUUGAUCAUUUCAAAACAAAACGAAAAAAAAAAUCUCAGUAAUUGAACUGAACGAGUCUCAGAAAUGGCAUCGAAAAGUAAGAUUCUAUUCAUCGGCGGGACAGGGUAUAUCGGUAAAUUCACUGUCGAAGCGAGCGUAAAAGCCGGCCACCCGACGUUCGUGCUCGUGAGAGAAUCCACAAUCUCUGGUCCUUCCAAAUCUCAACUCCUCGAUCACUUCAAAAACCUCGGCGUCAAUCUUGUCAUAGUGCGUUUUCAUUUUUCUCUUUUCUUUAUUUUUUAUUCCGAUCAUUUUUACACGUCGAAGUGUAGCAUCUACUACUUAAUAUACAUAAUGAUAUUAUUAUUUUUUAAUUUUUUUGGGUUGCUGUUAUUAUUAUACAGGGAGAUGUGUUGAAUCACGAGAGUUUGGUGAAGGCGAUAAAACAAGUGGACGCGGUGAUAUCAACAGUUGGUCACACUUUAAUAGCCGAUCAGGUCAAGAUUAUUGCUGCCAUUAAAGAAGCCGGUAACGUUAAGGUAUGACAUAAUUAAUGUAAAUGUCUUAGAUUUCGAUCAGGAUUGUGCACUCGUGCACACGUGGUGAUUUAUUCUUCGUGUGGAGCUCGCUGUAGAGUAGAGCUCCCAGUUCCGCUAAUAAACACCCGUCAGAUGCGCAAUUGCGCCUCAAAAUAAUUUAAUUAAUUAAUUAGGUAUAAACACCGAUGGCAUGAAAGCAAUUAAAAUUAGUUGAUGUUUAUAAAUUAUUUAUUACUCAGAGAUUCUUACCAUCGGAAUUUGGAAAUGAUGUUGAUCGAGUCGAAGGCGCCGUAGAGCCAACAAAAUCGACGUAUGACGUAAAGGCGAAAAUCCGCCGAGCCGUUGAGGCAGAAGGCAUUCCGUACACUUACGUAGAAUCUUAUUGUUUUGAUGGGUAUUUCCUCCCCAAUUUGUUGCAGCCUGAGGCCACUGCCCCCCCUAGGGAUAAGGUUGUCAUCUUAGGCGAUGGAAAUCCAAAAGGUAAUAUAAUUUAAUUAAGCUCUGUUUGUUUGGUAUGUAUUGCGGUGUUAAUGUUAUUGUCUGUUGUACAAUGGAUGGUCUUGCUUGGUACUGUUGUUGGAGAGCUGCAGUGUUUUGAUAAACACCUCUAUAGUCUAUCCUUAUCCUUAGCUUUCAAGUUAAGUUGAUUUUAUACAACACUUGUUUAAUUAAAAACUUGUAAUAUUCUUACUACUUUGAUAAAAAAAAUAUUACGAUUAAAGUAUUAAUGGCACCAUAAUACGAAAUGAAUCUUAAGUGGUCAUUAUAGAUUUUAAGAUAGAGUUUUAAGUGAUUACCAGAUACUUUAGCUGCUGAACCGCCACAUCAUGGUUGCCACACAACAAUUUCAAACAGAACCUAAAUAACUUCAUUGCAAAACAGUUAAAUGAAUCUAACUUAGUUUCGUCGUUUGAUUUUCAGCUGUUUUUAACAAGGAAGAUGAUAUUGGAACCUACACUAUCAAAGCGGUUGAUGAUCCGAGAACCUUGAACAAAAACUUUUACAUUCAGCCUCCCGGUAAUAUUUACUCAUUCAAUGAUCUUGUGUCUCUGUGGGAGAGAAAGAUUGGUAAAACCCUCGAAAAGGAGUAUGUUUCAGAGGAGCAGCUCCUAAAGAAUAUUCAAGGUUGGUUAAAACUCUCUUUUUUAAAUGUAUUAAAGAGAGCCGUAUAUUCUCUGCCGUAAAUGUUAUUGAUCCUGUCUUCUCCAAAAUGUUGCAGAAGCUGCACCUCCACACAAUGUGAUAUUAUCAAUUUAUCACUCUGCUUUCGUGAAGGGAGUUCAAACCAACUUCAAGAUUGAACCAUCUUUUGGAGUUGAAGCCUCGCAGCUUUAUCCUGAUGUCAAGUACACUACAGUUGAUGAGUACCUCAAUCAGUUUGUGUAACCCUUCUCUGUUUCCAGCUGCAGCUUGCAGGAUCUUGGACUCUUGGUAAAUAAAUAAUUGGCUUGUUGCCAUCUUUGGUUUUAUAUGUAAAAAUUAUGGUUGUUGGCCUUACUUUCUUCUGGUUGUCCAUGGAAUUUGUUAGACCAUAUUAUGUUUGCUAUGUCAGUGAUCAAAUGAAGUAGGCCAUGUACUUGAUUUGAGAGUAGUAGUUAUAAAAAGCCAUCAUGAUCAGGUGGGUGCGUGGGUUGGGCUUCUAUUAGGGUGCGUGUGUUGGGCUUCAGGGGCUUGUGAUAUGGGUUCGACAGCCCCUAACGGGCAGUCAUUAUAAAAAUAAUUAUAGAGUUACAAAUCUAUGUAAAAAGCAAAAAUUAAAAGUAAUUUAUCAAUAAAAAUAAUUAAAAUUAA
rnacentral:lncRNA from 1 species